ACUUAGUAUGUUUAAUUGAACAAACAUGAAGCUGAUCUCCCCGCGACCCUACCAUGAUUUAUUCUGUCAUUGCGACGGAAGCACGUUUAAUUGGUCUGCCUGUCACUGGCAUAGAAAGAUGGACCAAGAUAUUUUGGUCGUGUUAAUUAAUAACUUAACAACUUCAAGUGAAAUCGGAUCAUUUUGGUCGGGAAUCAUUUAAGAUCAAAUGUAAUUUCAUAACCACCAAUAAAACAUUUGUGUUAAAAAGUGA